GAGGAGAACAGCAGCGGAACACACGACAGAAACACAAAGUCAUUUUUCUAGAUUUAGCAUUUGCAAACCUCAACCUCAUCUGGAAGUCAUUUUAAUUACUGUAAACCAUCCGAUUGAAAGUUCAUUCUCGACCUUAGAAACAGCAACGAGUUUAACAUAAGGUCUCUUCCGUAGCAGAUGACGUUGCUCAAUUGUCAUGAAAAUGUGGAUUAUGAAAUGUGUCUUUAUUUUUUUCAGAGGAAGAGCAUGUGAUACAAAUGAAAGCUCCAGGACAUCUACUGUCUGGACCUUGUGGUGGGAUUGUUUUUCAUCAACUGCUGUUUUUAGGAGCAGGAAUGAACCUUCCAUCUUAUUUUUUAAGCUAACAAGGCUAAAGGUGCUAAAGUGUCAUCUGCUGAAGAAUGAUCGUAUGAUAUGACUGAAAGCUCCAGAACAGCCCCUGAGAGGACCUUGUGGUUAAAAUAAUCAUUAAAGCGCGCGGCGGAUGGACACCCUCUGCUCCAGGUCCUUGACCUCCCUCUCGUGCUGUGUGUCGGUGUGGAUCUUGAUCUUGCUCUGGUAGGCGUUGAGCAGCUCCAGCUCCUGCUGCAGCUGCAUCCGCAGCACCUUGUACUCCGCUUCCUGGGUCUCAUCCAAUCGCAGCUAAGAGGAAAGAAACAGGAGGGAACGUGAUGAAAAUGGAUUUGGCGGGAUUGUAAGAGCAAGAAAUUUUUGCUUUAGUGUCGCAAGGGUAGAGGAGGAAAAGCUUAGAAAGUUUGACAAACGUAAAGAAAAGAGAGAGGGAGGGAGAUGCACCAGAGAGACGAGGAGAGGAUCAGGAGUGUGAGUGUGAGCAGAUGGGUUUGUUAAAUGAGUGUUUUGUCUCAUUUGUGCCUGCAGACACUGAAAGGACUAUUUAACAGGAUGAAGUGAAACUAUUUUUUUUUCAGUGUAUAUGUGAGAAAUUGUCAAAUAAAAUCACAACCAAGUGGAUUUAUUUCAAGCUUCAUUGCAUAUUUUACUCAUGAACUAAAAUGCAGAUAUAAUUUCAAAAUGUGUGAAUAUAAAAAAAAAAAAUAAAAAAACUGUAGAAAAGUUAUCUGAAUAAAUCACAAAAUGUUGAACUAC